ensembl:rRNA 5S_rRNA 5S ribosomal RNA
UUCUAUGGCCAGGCCACCCUGAACAUGAACAUCUCAUCUGAUCUUGGAAGCUACGCAGGGUCAGGCCUGGUUAGUACUUGGAUAGGAGACCACCUAGGAAGAGACCACCUAGGAAUACCAGGUGCUGUAGGUG